CUUACACUCAGGUGGCCUUGAUCUCAGUUCUUGCUCCUGAGGGCAAUAACAUAUUGUCUUCUUGAUUAAGCUAGCCAAAUGAUUAAAUGAACUGCCUGCAGCACCACUCAGUUUUAAAUUACCUGUUCGAGCCAUGUAGUCAACUUUCCAGUGCAGUAAGGGGGGAAAGGAUUUGCAUGUGGAGCAUGGCUUCUGCCUUCAGACCAGAGUAGGAGGACAAGAUUCUUGUGUAAUUCACAGAAAGAUAUUUGGCACACAAACAACUGUUAGUAUCACCAUUAUGUAGAAGUCCCUGGUUAUGCCAGGGUGAGUGAACUUGUAGUUCCCCAGCAUUUAUUAAUUCAUGUCAUGUGAGAGAAAGCAGAUCAGACUGGUGGGCAUGCACAUUGGGAUGAUUAGGUUGGUCCGAUGAAUAUUGAAUUUCCUACUAGAUGUCAAUAUUGCCUAUAUGUCCAAUCCACUUGCAAAUGUACUUCAGUUUAGAGGGCUGAGAAACAGGCCAGUGAUUUCACUGCAUGUGUUAAGGUACUUAUCUCAGUAGCUAACAUUGCUCAUAGGGGCGAGUUAAAACCCUGUCUUCUUAACAGCAUUCCGGAAUGCUCUCCUUUUUUUUGAAA
rnacentral:lncRNA from 1 species